CCGGGGCACUCCUGGCUCCAUAACCACUACAGCGCUCUGUAGUGGUUAUGGUGCUUGGAGUGCUACAU